rnacentral:rRNA from 1 species
CCCUAUGGGGUGCAGCAGGCGCGAAAACUUCACACUGCAGGAAACUGUGAUGAGGGAACUCCAAGUGCGCGCACUUAUGUGUGCGCUUUUCUUGACUAUUAAUCGGUCUUGGAAUAAGGGCUGGGAAAGACCGGUGCCAGCCGCCGCGGUAAUACCGGCAGCUCAAGUGGUCGUCGCUUUUAUUGGGCCUAAAACGUCCGUAGCCUGUUUGGUAAAUCUGUGGGUAAAUCAACCAGCUUAACUGGUUGAAUUCUGCAGAGACUGCCAGACUAGGGACCGGGAGAGGUGUGGGGUACUCUAGGGGUAGGGGUAAAAUCCUGUCAUCCUUAGAGGACCACCAGUUGCGAAGGCGCCACACUGGAACGGAUCCGACGGUCAGGGACGAAGCCUAGGGGCACGAACCGGAUUAGAUACCCGGGUAGUCCUAGGUGUAAACGCUGUGAACUUGGUGUCGGGAGUCCGCAAUGGGCCCCCGGUGCCGGAGUGAAGAUGUUAAGUUCACUGCCUGGGGAGUACGGUCGCAAGGCUGAAACUUAAAGGAAUUGGCGGGGGAGCACUGCAACGGGAGGAGCGUGCGGUUUAAUUGGAUUCAACGCCGGAAAACUCACCAGGGCCGACUGUUAGAUGAAGACCAGUGUAACGAACUUGUCGGAUUUCAGAGAGGUAGUGCAUGGCCAAGGCGAUU